AAGUCAUAGGUUGGUACUAAGAUGAUGGAAAUGUAAUCCCAUUACAGUGUUUGGGAAGUGGAACCUAAUGGGUGAUCCUUAGAUCAUUGGGAAGAUGUCCUUGGAAGGUGGCUCUUGCAGAAGGGUUGCUAGAAAAUUCUACUCUUGGGCACAGUCUCUCUCUCUCAUUGCUUCCUUUUCUUUCUUUCUUUUUUUUUUUUACAGGCAGAGUGGACAGUGAGAGAGACAGAGAGAAAGGUCUUCCUUUUCCAUUGGCUGAUCUGAAGCCCGGAGCCAGGUGCUUCUCCUGGUCUCCCGUGCAGGUGCAGGGCCCAAGCACUUGGGCCAUCUUCCACUGCACUCCCAGGCCACAGCAGAGAGCUGGCCUGGAAGAGGAGCAACCAGGACAGAAUCUGGUGCCCUGACCUGGACUAGAACCCGGUGUGCCAGCGCCGCAGGCAGAGGAUUAGCCUAGUGAGCCGCGGCGCCGGCCUCUGCUUCCCUCUUUGCCAGGUAGAGUUACAGACAAUGAGAGAGAGAGAUACAGAAAGGUCUUCCUUCCGCUGGCUCACUCCCCAAGUGGCCGCAAUGGCUGGAGCUGCGCCGAUCCAAAGCCAGGAGCCUGGUGCCCUUUCCUGACCUCCCACGUGGGUUCAGGGGCCCAAGCACUUGGGCCAUCCUCCACUGCCAUCCCAGGCCACAGCAGAGAGCUGGACUGGAAGAGGAGCAACUGGGACCAGAACCCGGCGCCCAUAUGGGAUGCUGGUGCCGCAGGUGGAAGAUAAACCAAGUGAGCCACGGCACCGUCCCUAAAGACUGUUUCUCAAUGUGUCCUGUCAGUUUUCUUCUAAAAUAGUCUGAGCUAUUUGUUUCAGAGAUGUCUCGAGUUUUCCUCUUAGCAGUCACCUCCUAUCUUUAGCUCUCUUCUGAAUCAGAUAGCCCUGUGCUUCUUCCUGCGUGCUCUCAUCUUUUUCCAUUGUAUUCUCUGUGACAGAGCUCUCAGGCUUGUAAACCUUAUGAUGCUUCAAAAUGUUUAAUAAUUUCUAUUGCUUUUAUGAAAAAGACAAAAUUCAUUUUGAACAUCACUGUGUACCAGGCACCUAGAAUUAAUGCAUUGUAUAUAAUAUUAAUGAAAUAUAUUUUUAUUAAAAGAAUAAUUCUCUGUCACCAUACCUCUCAGUAUUAAUCUGGCUGCUGUGCAGAGAUUAGAGGGCAACUGUUGAGAGAAAAAGGAUAAUGAGGGGUAAAGAGAUGACAGGAUUCCAGGAAGGUGCAAUAUCAGAGGUAAGGUGUAGAGAAUGAGUAAGCAGGGGUCAGUGAGAUGGGAGAAAAGCUGAAGCAUUAUAAGUCUCUGAAAAUUAUAUUGAAGGCUAACACAUGAGUAUGCACGGAUUUUAAAAUAUUUUGCACCUACAUAAAUUUAUCUUUUAAUUCCAUUUUCCAUAAACUUUUGAAGUUUCUCUGCAUAAGGACCUGUUUGAGUGCUUUUAGGGAGGAAAACAGUCGUCUUUCUGUGGAACACUUUCUCCACAUGUUCUGACUUUUCAAUUCUCCAAGAUUUAUUUACUUAUUUAUUUGAAAGAGAGAGGAGGAGAGAAAGAGAGAGUUAGCAAGAACUUUCAUCGCUGGUUCAUUGUGGUUCAUUCUCUGAAUGCUCACAACAGCUGGAGCUGGCCCUGGUUGAAACCAGGAUCCAGGAACUCCUUCCAGAUCUUCCACAUGGGAUCAGGAAUCCAAGUGCUUGGACCAUCAACUGCUAUCUCCUAGGUGCAGAAGUGGAAAACUGGAUUGGAAGCAGAGGUUGAACUCCAUCCUAGGCUCUCUUAUAUGGAAUGCAGGUGUCCCAAGGAAUGGCUUAACCUGCAAUGGCACAAUACCUGCCCCACAUUCAAGAUCUUAAUGCUAAUAAAUAAUCCGAGAGGAAUGUACAAAGGUCCUGUGUCCUGUGGUUACUCACAGCCCUGGGAAAACUGGAUCAUUGAUCCCCUUAGCCAGAUGCAUCUCUCCCUGGAGCAUCAAUCCUUCCGCUCUUCCAGACUCAACAUCACCUGUGGGAGUCUCUCAGACACCUCAGGCUAAGACUGGUCUCUGUGCAUUCCUGUGCUCUACACGUUACUGAAAUCGUUUAAUUACUUGGCAGUGUUUCCCACUAGACUGACGUUUUCUAAGAGCCAGGGCUGGAUUUAUUGGAUCUUAUUGAUCACAGUUUCCUCAGUGCCUAGAACCAACUUGUGAGCAUUCAUUCAAAUAUUGGCUUAAUAAAUAAAUAAAUGGUCUUUUGCGAACCUUGGAUUUCCAGAAGCAGUAGAUGCUGGUGGCAUCCCUGAAGCUGCCUGCAGCCCCUUCCCUACUGCCUGCUGCUGUGCUUCUGGCUAGCUUGUGCAGACCAUGGCAAGGACAGAAUUAGCUUGCCGUGGCAGUGUUAGCUGCCUAUGGAGCCUGAGAGUGACACCAGCCCUCCUGUGUACUUGCAGUGUGAUCUUACCAAAAUCUCAGCUGGAUCUGUAAAAAUGGGAGAUUCCUAAUAAUACUAUGAUUGUGAAAAACCAAUGAGAUAAUGGGUGAGCAUGGGGUUUUGCACAUUAUAAACAGCUAUGAAAAUAAUAUUUGAUGUUUAAUUUUGAGCUCUGACUUUAUGGCUUACAGGGUUUAUUCAUUCCCUUCACUGUUCAUCGCUGAUCCAUUUUGACUUGCAUUUUCUCCUUGUAAUAACAAUAGAUACUAUUUAUUAUGGUGUGCUUGGCUCUCUGUUAUUGCAAUGCACACAUUAUAUUUAAUCUCUACCAGCAAAGCAGACAUUCCACUUUUACACAUAAGGAAAUUGGAGCCAAAGCAUUUACACACUUUUUCUAGCAAAUAGCAGGGCUUGGAUUUAAACUCACGGCUGUCUGUUUACAAAAUUUUCACCACUUAAAUCACAGCACAUUAAAUCCUGACUCUGGUUUCAUGGUUAGAGAGUUGACCUUUGCUUGUCCCUUCAGGGGCCCCAACUCCCUUAGGGUGGCUUUUCUUGCCCCUGGCCCUGUUCUCUAGUGUGGACACAGCUGCAAGGGGCUAGCAAUAUCCAUCUACAGUCAGCUGAUGCUGGAGGCACAGGAGAGAGUCUGUAAAUAUCACUGCUUCACCCCAAAGCAGUCACGUUCUGCCCCAAAUCCCAUAUGAAAGUCUAGCAUUUAGAAACUAUGCCUUUCUAUUUUCAGCACAGCUCAUGUAGGUGGCCUUUGGAGUCUGUCCUAUGAAUCUUGGGCUUUCUUAUGUUAUAUUCUGUGAAGUGGUGAAUCGUGUGCUGCAGUCACUGUUGGUUAUUCACCCAGAAGCCAUUACCUUUUUUCUCCUUAAAGUAAGAGCCUAGUUUUGUUUAGCUGCCUACCUCUUUCCCAUGGGAUCCAGAAGCAACCCUGUCCUAACUCUAGGAAUAAAUCAUGAGCAUCUAUUCAUGGCAACUCCAUUCCUGUUUCCAGUCACUGGUUUAUGGAUGGGUAAAUUGCACAAGCAUGACUAAUGGACUAAGAGGAUACCUCUCUUGAGGGCAUCUGGGAAAAGUUCCCUUGCCGAUAAGGAGACAUACAAGAAGACAGGUCAUUAUUUCCUCAUCUUCCUCUUCUUCCUUUCUUGUACUACAUGUGGAUUCUUGGAACUUGGACAGCAGUCUUGUAUAUAUGAAAAGUGUAAGCUUAUUAGAACCCCAAUAUCCUUGCAAUGGAAAGAAGCUGAGAUUUUAUACUGCCACUGUAUAAACCAUUCUUGAAGAAGUCUUACCUUCAAUUUGCUGUUUGAGAUAAUAACAGCUGCAAGUCAUGUUUUUGAUUAGGAUUUGUUUUUCUAGUAUUUGCAGCUGAUAGUAUUGAUAGUAUAUUUCAACUAUCUAUUCCUUUCUGUGUCUCCACGUUGGACUACAUUGGACUAUGAACUCCUGGAAAGUAUGAAUUUACUGUAAUUGACACAUACUCAUCACAUUUUGACUGAAUGAAUGAGAGCUCGGCUGGAAAAACUUCCAUGGAUGUGGAAAAGAGGCAGGUUGAAAUCAAAACAUGUGGAGGUAUUGUGUGUAGAGUGCUAAAGUUUUGCUGGGUAACCAUCACAUGGAAUUGAAGCAGAAUCCAGGAAUAUCAGAGGAAGAACUAGUCCUGGACAUAACCAACUCACAUUUUCAUAAAAUGAUGAGGAAAUGAGCUCUAAGGAAGGCAUGUAACUUGUCCAAGCCAUCUGUAUAUUACUUGGCUUUAUUCUCUUAAGCCAGCCUGAGCUUUAACUUGCUAUGUAACUGGAACCCAUCACAUACUCUCUAAGCUGUUUUCCAACAUAAGUAAAAAAAUGGCAAUAAUUUGUUUGCUCAAUUUCAGAUCUUCGGUAAAAGAGAUUCUAUGAUGGAAGUAGAAGAGUUUUAUGAGUUGCUCUGUCACAAGAAAAUUUGUUUUGCUAUUAUAGUAGAUGCUAAAAAUGAUGGUUCCUAAAUAAACAAAUAGAGAAUAGGCAUUGUAUUUUAGUUCUAGCUUUUUGAAAUAUUGUCAUAUAUUUAUAUUCAGGUGAAAUGAGGGAAGGAACUAUAACCAGGGUGCUAACAUGCUUUGAUGGUGGAGUUGUAUGAAUCACAAAAAGAAGAGAUUCAAAUACAGAUUCAAAUAUUCAAAUAAAGAAAGUGUCAGAAUUCAAAGUUGCUAGUUUAUGUGAAACACUGUAUUGGAACAAUUCAUCCAGUAUUUUAUAUAAUCAUUAUAUAACUCUAAAAAAGAUAUAGUUUGAUUUUUCACUAAUAAAAAAGCUGAUGGUCUGAGAGCUUCAAUAGUUGUGGAGGUGGCUGAUGAGUGAGCAAGAUUCAUACUUGGCUUAGCAUCAGUACUGCUUAUACCACACCAUGAGCCACUUUGGAAACUGUAGGGCAUCCAUCUGGAUGGUCCAAUCUGAGGUCUUUCUGCCUCUGGCAUACCAAAGCUUUCUAAUUUUCACAUAGAUUCUGCCCUGACUGACCAGUGAGAUUGUGCCAGUCAAGGGAACUUGGCCAUGGAAAGUUCGGAAGCCAUCAUGUAGAUGCUAGCUAGCACUGUGCUCAGCAACAGCAGUCCUGUCCUUGCCCCAUCAGCUUAGUAUAUGAACACCUAAGCUUGGGUAGUUUUUCCUUUGCUACCUCUAUCAUGUAUUUUUUCUGUUUAAGUUUUGUUUGGUCUACAAAUAUGGGCUCUGGGACAGGGGCAACAAGAACUACCGGUGUGAUUGCAAGACAGACAGGACUGGGUUACACUGCUUGUUUUAUCAUUACUCAUUCAAUGUCCUUGAGUUGGUGUCUCUUGAGUCAAAAUUUAAUGUAUCAGUCCAUUUUCUCUCACUAUAAUAAAAUAUACGAGGCCAGUUUGAAAGAGGUUCUUUUAAGUCAGUUUUGGAGGUUAUAAGUCCAAACAGCAUAUCACAGCUUUAAUGAGGACCCCAUGGUGGGUGAACCAUGGUGGGAGUGUCUGCACAGUGGUGAGAGCCUAUGGUGAGAGAGUGGGAAUGGUCAGGCUCACUCCUUUAGACCAACCCUCAUAAGAACUAACAGGUCCCAUGGGAACUAAGUUAAUCUCUCCUGAAAGUGGUAACCCCUUCGACCUAAUGUCCUCCUAUUAGUCCCCAUCUCUCAAGGCCCCACCACCUUUUAACAUCACCACACUGAAGACUAAGCUUCUAACACAUGAAUCCUUGAGGGAGAAACUCAAACUGUAUAAAAUCAUAGUAUUUAUUUACCUGUGCCAUAGAGAUAAUACCUUACUUAUAGUAUCUAUGGGGAAUAUAAUUUCCACAUGCAGUAUAUAUUGAAAAAUGAUAGUCAUUCUUUAAAAUUUGUAGAAUAAAGAAAAAAAUCUUUUAACAUUUUUCCCUCUCCAUUACAUU